ACCUACGGACGCAGCAGUGAGGAAUAUUGGUCAAUGGCCGCAGGGCUGAACCAGCCAAGUCGCGUGAGGGAUGACGGUCCUAUGGAUUGUAAACCUCUUUUGUCAGGGAGCAAAGGGCGCCACGUGUGGCGUUUUGCGAGUACCUGAAGAAAAAGCAUCGGCUAACUCCGUGCCAGCAGCCGCGGUCAUACGUAGGAUCCGAGCAUUAUCCGGAGUGACUGGGUGUAAAGAGUUGCGUAGGUGGCAUAAUAAGUAGCUAGUGAAAUCUGGUGGCUCAACCAUUCAGACUAUUAGCUAAACUGUUA
rnacentral:rRNA from 1 species